rnacentral:rRNA from 1 species
GACGAACGCUGGCGGCGUGCCUAAUACAUGCAAGUCGAGCGAAGUUUUUCUGGUGCUUGCACUAGAAAAACUUAGCGGCGAACGGGUGAGUAACACGUAAAGAACCUGCCUCAUAGACUGGGACAACUAUUGGAAACGAUAGCUAAUACCGGAUAACAGCAUUAACUGCAUGGUUGAUGUUUAAAAGUUGGUUUUGCUAACACUAUGAGAUGGCUUUGCGGUGCAUUAGCUAGUUGGUGGGGUAAAGGCCUACCAAGGCGACGAUGCAUAGCCGACCUGAGAGGGUGAUCGGCCACACUGGGACUGAGACACGGCCCAG